AUUGAACGCUGGCGGCAUGCCUUACACAUGCAAGUCGAACGGCAGCACGGGUGCUUGCACCUGGUGGCGAGUGGCGAACGGGUGAGUAAUACAUCGGAACAUGUCCUGUAGUGGGGGAUAGCCCGGCGAAAGCCGGAUUAAUACCGCAUACGAUCCACGGAUGAAAGCGGGGGACCUUCGGGCCUCGCGCUAUAGGGUUGGCCGAUGGCUGAUUAGCUAGUUGGUGGGGUAAAGGCCUACCAAGGCGACGAUCAGUAGCUGGUCUGAGAGGACGACCAGCCACACUGGGACUGAGACACGGCCCAGACUCCUACGGGAGGCAGCAGUGGGGAAUUUUGGACAAUGGGGGGAAGCCUGAUACAGCAAUGGCGCGUGUGUGAAGAAGGCCUUCCGGUUGUAAAGCACUUUUGUCCGGAAAGAAAUCCUUGACUCUAAUACAGUCGGGGGAUGACGGUACCGGAAGAAUAAGCACCGGCUAACUACGUG
rnacentral:rRNA from 1 species